CAUAGGGGAAGGGGCAAACAGCAACCUCUUGGGCUGGAGUCUUGGGCUAGAAAAGAUCACUGAUUACCCACCUGUUCCCCCUGGAUACUAGGGCUUCAACCCAGAAGGUGCUGUGAUGAAGUGGCUUCAGCAAAAGAUUACCUGAGACAUCCUGAUCCGUUAUGAGAAUGGCAGCAGCGAGAUUUGGCCUGGGGACGGAGCAAAGUGACCCCCUGCUGUAGAGCAAGGGAGAAGGGAAUUUUAAAGAAGAGAUU